rnacentral:rRNA from 1 species
UACGUAGGGGGCUAGCGUUGUCCGGAAUCAUUGGGCGUAAAGCGGGUGUAGGUGGCUCUAUAAGUCAGGAGUGAAAUCCCCGAGCUUAACUCGGGGAGUGCUUUUGAUACUGCAGAGCUUGAAUGUGGGAGAGGAUAAUAGAAUUCCAGGUGUAGUGGUGAAAUACGUAGAUAUGUGGAGGAACACCGAUGGCGAAGGCAGCCCCCUGGGUCAACACUGACGCUCAUGCACGAAAGCGUGGGGAGCAAACAGG